AUUGGACAAUGGGGGGAACCCUGAUCCAGCGACGCCGCGUGAGUGAAGAAGUAUCUCGGUAUGUAAAGCUCUAUCAGCAGGGAAGAAAGAAAUGACGGUACCUGAGUAAGAAGCCCCGGCUAACUACGUGCCAGCAGCCGCGGUAAUACGUAGGGAGCGAGCGUUAUCCGGAAUUAUUGGGUGUAAAGGGUGCGUAGACGGGAAAGCAAGUUAGUUGUGAAAUCCCUCGGCUUAACUGAGGAACUGCAACUAAAACUACUUUUCUUGAGUGCAGGAGAGGUAAGUGGAAUUCCUAGUGUAGCGGUGAAAUGCGUAGAUAUUAGGAGGAACACCAGUGGCGAAGGCGACUUACUGGACUGUAACUGACGUUGAGGCACGAAAGUGUGGGGAGCAAACAGG
rnacentral:rRNA from 1 species